rnacentral:lncRNA from 1 species
UCGACUUUUGAUAGUUGUCCCUCAAGCGUCCGUUCGCUAGGACGGAGGGGUUGAGCCGAGUCACGUUAUCCUCGUUGGACGAACCGUGGUGCUCGUUUGAGCUGCAAACGGGUAGGUUCGAGUGGAGUCCCGGUCCCCGUUCGGGGGGUCCGGCUCGGGCCAAGCUGGUGGCGCACUCCAAUUUCCCGCCGGCCAGUUCAUAUAGUUCCCGGAUUCGUUCGAUCGGAUCUGGGGGCCCGUUGCCUUUCCCUGUGGAAAAACCAUGAACUUUAUACCGGACGGGACUCGAACGUGAGGUCGGGACGCCCUUGGCUUUCGCUUGCCUGGGUGUUGGCCGCUAGCGGACCCGUCCCUUCUCACACCUUGCUCGGGGGAUGUACUGAGGCAGCUGUCGAACUCGUGUUGGGCUAGCUUUCGAACCUCUGGACCGUAAUGGGCCGUAGGGGCGUUUUCAGCCCCGUAUCCCUUUCUUACCUCCCUGUGGGCCGUGGGCCGGAACGAAGUGGUCGUUGCGUCCGGGCCGAACGUGGGGGCGUUGUGGGCGCGUCAUCCGGGAAGUGGAGUUAUGGGGAGCGCCAUCCCGCGAAUCGAGGAGGAUAGGAUGUUUUCGCGGCCGAUCGUGCGCGCGGUUUUCGAAAAGGAAACGGGCGUGGCAGGGGCGUACCUGGCGCUGCAUUUAUGGCGGCCGGGGCGUCGAUUUGGCUUCUCCGAUACCUUUCCUAUAAAAACGGGAGCCCGCCGCGCCGGUUCUGC